rnacentral:rRNA from 1 species
GAUGAACGCUAGCUACAGGCUUAACACAUGCAAGUCGAGGGGCAGCAUGAACUUAGCUUGCUAAGUUUGAUGGCGACCGGCGCACGGGUGAGUAACACGUAUCCAACCUGCCGAUGACUCGGGGAUAGCCUUUCGAAAGAAAGAUUAAUACCCGAUGGCAUAGUUCUUCCGCAUGGUAGAACUAUUAAAGAAUUUCGGUCAUCGAUGGGGAUGCGUUCCAUUAGGUUGUUGGCGGGGUAACGGCCCACCAAGCCUUCGAUGGAUAGGGGUUCUGAGAGGAAGGUCCCCCACAUUGGAACUGAGACACGGUCCAAACUCCUACGGGAGGCAGCAGUGAGGAAUAUUGGGCAAUGGACGAGAGUCUGAACCAGCCAAGUAGCGUGAAGGAGGACUGCCCUAUGGGUUGUAAACUUCUUUUAUACGGGAAUAAAGUGAGGCACGUGUGCCUUUUUGUAUGUACCGUAUGAAUAAGGAUCGGCUAACUCCGUG